rnacentral:rRNA from 1 species
CGGACGGGUGAGGAAUACAUCGGAAUCUACUCUGUCGUGGGGGAGUAACGUAGGGAAACUUACGCUAAUACCGCAUACGACCUACGGGUGAAAGCAGGGGAUCUUCGGACCUUGCGCGAUUGAAUGAGCCGAUGUCGGAUUAGCUAGUUGGCGGGGUAAAGGCCCACCAAGGCGACGAUCCGUAGCUGGUCUGAGAGGAUGAUCAGUCACACUGGAACUGAGACACGGUCCAGACUCCUACGGGAGGCAGCAGCA